GACGAACGCUGGCGGCGUGCUUAACACAUGCAAGUCGAACGAAGUGGCGAACGGGUGAGUAACGCGUAAUCAACCUGCCCUUCAGGGGGGGACAACAGUUGGAAACGACUUCUAAUACCGCAUACUGACGGUGGGGAUUGCGGCUGAUUCGCCAGUUGGCGGGGUAACGGCCCACCCAGGCGAGGAUCAGUAGCCGGUCUGAGGGGAUGAACGGCCCAAUUGGGACUGGGACACGGCCCAGACUCCUACGGGAGGCAGCAGGGGUGAAUCUUCCGCAAUGGACGAAAGUCCUACGGAGCAACGCCGCGUGAGUGAUGACGGCCUUCGGGUUGUAAAGCUCUGUUAAUCGGGACGCGGUACCGGAAUAGAAAGCCACGGCUAACUACGUGCCAGCCGCCGCGGUAAUAC
rnacentral:rRNA from 1 species